GCGUAAGUGAGGAAACGGAUAUACGCAACGUAGCGGAAGAAAAUGUAUACAAUGGCAAUUUGGAAAUCAAUUAAGUUAUGAAAAAAAGAGCAUUAAUUGCCUUUCUUUGUGGUCGAUGUGUUAUGGAAUGGCGGACUGUGAGCAGUAGCGCCCCGUCAGACGCCGCUGUUUUGCCUCGACGGGAACCGUUAUUUGACGUGUCAGGCAGAAAGAGCAGUGCUUUUAAAGGAUACUUUGGAGAAUGAGUUGAUUGUUUUCGAGGGAAUCCAGAGGAGGUUGCAAAUAAAAAGGCUAACUGGAAGAUGCCAAGAAGAAAACAACAGAAUCCACAACCAGUCAAGUGUGUCAAACAAGCUGACUGGUAGAUUCUUCUGAUGAUUUUAUAUGCUGUGUAUCCAGUGUCCUUUAUUUAAAAAGUUGUAAUGUGACUAACAAAAGUAGGAGUUAUUUCUGUGUUUGUGAUUACGAAGAAAAGCUGAAUUUUGCUGGUAAUUCAUUUUAAUAUUCAGCAAUUUUAAGAUUUUCAGUUGAAUGUGGUAAAUAACUGUCAUGGUAACUGAAUGAAUAAUAUUUUACGUGCUGUAAACAUAGCCUGCUUCAAAAGUAUUGGUUGUGUCAUUGUUUCUGCUUUCUUUUUAAAAAGUUGUGAUUAUUUUCAGUCUCGUCCAGCAGAUGGCAGUAAAAUUACAGUAAAGCCAGAGCCUGUUACUGGCCAAGUCGAUGCUGCUAGAUUUGCUAUUUCUUUAACUUAUUUUU